rnacentral:snRNA from 1 species
GGAUGUGAGGGCGAUCUGGCUGCGACAUCUGUCACCCCAUUGAUCGCCAGGGUUGAUUCGGCUGAUCUGGCUGGCUAGGCAGGUGUCCCCUUCCUCCCUCACCGCUCCAUGUGCGUCCCUCCCGAAGCUGCGCGCUCGGUCGAAGAGGACAACCUUCCCCGGUAGAGGAGGACUGUUCUUCGGUCAAGGGUAUACGAGUAGCUGCGCUCCCCUGCUAGAACCUCCAAAAACAAAAAGAUGACAAACAUAUACUCAUCUGCUAUUACUUUCCUAUUGCUGCAUGUAAAAAUUGUUACCGAGAGCUGUUUGAGCAACUUAACACAUAGUUUAUUUAUCU